GGGCUAUAGCUCAGUUAGGUAGAGCACCUCGUUUACACCGAGAAGGUCUA
rnacentral:tRNA from 3 species